AGAGUUUGAUCCUGGCUCAGAACGAACGCUUGCGGCGCGCCUAAUACAUGCAAGUCGAACGCUGUAGCAAUACAGAGUGGCGCACGGGUGAGUAACACGUGGAUAAUCUGCCCUUCAGUGGGGAAUAACUAUCCGAAAGGAUAGCUAAUACCGCAUGAGACCACAGUUCCCGAGGGAACAGAGGUUAAAGAUUUAUUGCU
rnacentral:rRNA from 1 species